UAUCCAAGCGAUAGUAAUAAAAAUGUAAUCACAAUAAAUAACUUUGACACUUUUUGAUCAUGAUUAUUUGUCAUGUGUCCAAACAUUAAUUUACUCAACUUGUAAUUCAAAGUCCAAGGUCAUAAAAAACUAGGAAAUGAUUUGAAACUACAAUGUUUAGAAAAGCAUAAUGAUCACUAUGUCUUGGAAGUUUGGUAGACACUUCAAACUAAAUAACAUUUAUGAGUAUGCUUAUAACAAACAUCGUACGAGCCUGUUCCACAAAACGACUAUUAGAUGAAGUAAAGUUAGCAAAUCAAACAGUCAAGAAAAUCAAGCCACCUAUCCAUAAGGAUAAACCUCUGAAGAUGGAAGAUCUGACUAAAGUUUACCUGUCUCCUUUGCCGGAUUCUCCUUACGUGAGGCCUUUUCGCUUUAACUACGUGCAGGGAGGCAAGGAUAAGAACUGGGAUAUGCUGGCGGUGCACGACAGCGUCGCUAUCAUAGUUUUCAACACCACCAAAAACGUUUUGAUAUUUGUGAAGCAAUUUAGACCCGCGGUGUACUUCAACUGCAUCCCGCCAGCGGAACGUGAGGCUGGGGAAAUAGACACAAACAAGUACCCAGCCUCGCUGGGCAUCACCCUGGAGAUGUGCGCAGGCAUCGUGGACAAGAACAAGUCCCUGCAAGAAAUAGCCAAGGAGGAAGUUCUAGAAGAGUGCGGGUAUGACGUACCGCUCAGAGAACUCCAUCAAAUUGCAUCAUACAGGGCCGGUGUCGGCGUUCAGGGUUCGCUACAGACAUUGUUCUACUGUGAGGUCACCGACGACAUGAAAGUAGGAAAAGGUGGCGGCGUCGAAGAUGAAAUCAUAGAGGUAGUAGAAAAAUCAAUAGCAGACGUAGAAAAAUGGAUAUCCGGCCCGGGACCCCUGAACACCCCGCCAUCAUGCCUGUUCGCAUUGAUGUGGUUUUUACGGCACAAAGCUGACAAAUACAGAAAUAAGGUCAUUUGAGAGAUACUGCGGUGAAUGCAAAGUGGUUCAAGACGAUGGAUUUUUUGCCACAUCUUCAGAUUGAAGCCUUCCAAAACAGCGUGUUCAGAAGCAAUACCAGUGUACGUCGAUGUGCUUGCGAAUACCUAUUUAUAAACCUUUACCAUGAUUUAAAAACAAUAGUCAAUGUCGAUACUCGACAGCGAUGACGUAUUUUUUUUUUGUAUGGGAAAUUCUAGUUCCGUAAGUAACCGCUAGAGGCGCUGGAUUUCUUUUAUACAAAAUUGUAAUUAGGUCGUCGCUAUCGGAGUAUUGAUUAAUUAGUAUUGUUUUAAAAUCGUUGUAGUUACAGUUCGUAUCUUUUAGGUCCAUUUUCAUGAUGAUUUUAUUGGUACAUAAUAACUGUGAUUGUAAUGCCUUUCUGUGAUUAAAAACUUGAAAUGGA